CGAAACGGCGCCGCCUUUCUUCUUCCCUCCCCUUCACUCUUUCACAAAUGACAACAAGCCGGCCCUUUUUUCAACCCAAACCGUGUGAGUCGCGAUGCCGCGAUUAACAACUUGUUUAGUCGGUCCAUCAGUCUCCUCCGCGGCUUGAGGGACUACACUCUGUCACGAUUAACAACUCGGGGACUAUGCUAUGCAAGGUAGAUCUCCUGUUUGACUAUCGAGUCCUGUGGUACAAAGCAAGGGUUCUUCUAUUUGGCUUCGUGAUUUCAAUUUUUAAAGUAAUUUUCUAAAGAUUUGUUCAUUUUUGUGUGAGUUUAUGUUGAUUUGUGAGGUAAAAGUUCAUUUUUGUUUUUACUAGUCCUAAGGUAGCGAGCCUUACUGUUUUUAUAUAUUUAGAAAAAUAAUUUUAUUUUUAUUUUUGUUUACUAUUUUUAUAUAUUUAGAAAAGACGAAUUCUUGUUUACAGUAUGUGUAAAUUUGGUUACAGUAAACCAAAAGUUCAUUUUUGUUUAUUGAUUUCAUAUAUUUAUAAUUAGAAAAAAUGAAUUCUUUAAUGCAAUAUGUUGUUUGAUGAUUAAUUAAUAGGUGAAAUGAAACUCAUUCGAAGUGUAUUGUUGUCUGCAAACAUCGGUUUGUC
rnacentral:lncRNA from 1 species